UACGUAGGGACCGAGCGUUGUCCGGAAUCAUUGGGCGUAAAGAGCGUGUAGGCGGCUUGUUAAGUCUUGCGUGAAAUCUCGGGGCUCAACCCCGAGCGGUCGUGAGAAACUGGCAGGCUAGAGUGCGGGAGAGGAGAGUGGAAUUGCAGGUGUAGCGGUGAAAUGCGUAGAUAUCUGCAGGAACACCCGUGGCGAAAGCGGCGCGCUGGACCACUACUGACGCUGAGGAACGAAAGCUAGGGGAGCAAACAGG
rnacentral:rRNA from 1 species